rnacentral:rRNA from 1 species
UUGAAAGGGAAACGAUUGAAGUCAGUCAUACCAACGGGAAAUCAACCUUUUGAGCUCGGUUUCGUGGGUUUUGAAGAGUUUCAAAGCCUUCGGAUUCGCGAGAUUGGGAUCUCUCGGUGUACCUUCUCGUACGGUUAGUCAACAUCGGUUUUGAAUGUCAUAAAAUGACUGGAGGAAUGUAGCUUCGAUCUCGUAUUGAAGUGUUAUAGCCUUUGGUAGAUGUGAUGUUUGAGACCGAGGAUUGCAACGGAUACCCUUCAGGGCUAUUCGUCUGAUCUCUGAUACGUUGCCCUGAUGUUGAAAGCUUGCUUAUGAUGUUAGGGUAUUACGGUCAAAAGGUUAGAACGAAUUACAUUCGUUAAGGAUGUUGACGUA